UCAUUCAAAGACCAGGCAGCUAAGCACGCAUCUGUAAAAUGGUCUAUUGAGCUUGACAAAGUCAAAAAACAAAACUCAAGGAGGAGAAACAGUUGCCUAGCUCAAAGAGUAGAGAAGUAGAAUGUGGGAUGUCAGCUGAUCAAUUUUUUCCAAGUUCCAGGGAGGAUAGGAACCUGGAGCAUCAUUCUGGAUGUAAUCCAGCACAUGAUUAACUUAAGGACAUUAGUGUAUAUAUAUUUGUUAUUUGGUGUUAUCUCUUUCUAAAUAUGGGCUUUCCAGAAUUUUGGCUUUUUGUAAUCUAUUACUAUUUUUGGAUGUUGUAAGAAUUUAAGAUGUAUGAUAACCUUCAGACAGCAAUGCAGACAUGGUUUUGUGAAA